rnacentral:rRNA from 1 species
AUGCGCCAGCGGCACGGGUGGUCAGGCCUGAGCAGCGAGCUCUUCUGCCCCCUCCUCAUUGGAUCGGCGGCCAGGGAGGCCAGAUCGCGUGGCACGAGAGAAGGCUCAUGUGUGAGGAAGGGGAGCAGCAACAUGCGUCGAUUGGGGAAGGGAGGAGCAACGGGUGCCACUGAAGGGAGGGGAGCAGCGGCAAGCGCGGAGGGAGGGGAGCACGGGAGCCCCAAGGGAGGCGGAGCAGCGGCAGGUGGCGUGGAGGUUGGAGAUCUUGGUGAGGACGGCGCGACGCGAGGUCAUGGUGGCAUGUGUCGGAGCAGUGGUAGGUGGCGUGUGCAGCUUAUUUUCUUGCAUGAGUGGUGA